UGGGGAAGUCUUGGGCAAUGGACGAAAGUCUGACCGAGCAACGCCGCGUGAGUGAAGAAGGUUUUCGGAUCGUAAAACUCUGUUGGUAGAGAAGAACGUUGGUGAGAGUGGAAAGCUCAUCAAGUGACGGUAACUACCCAGAAAGGGACGGCUAACUACGUGCCA
rnacentral:rRNA from 1 species